rnacentral:rRNA from 1 species
UGACAGGUGGUGCAUGGUUGUCGUCAGCUCGUGUCGUGAGAUGUUGGGUUAAGUCCCGCAACGAGCGCAACCCUUGUCUUUAGUUGCCAUCAUUAAGUUGGGCACUCUAGAGAGACUGCCAGGGAUAACCUGGAGGAAGGUGGGGAUGACGUCAAAUCAUCAUGCCCCUUAUGCUUAGGGCUACACACGUGCUACAAUGGGUAGUACAGAGGGUUGCCAAGCCGUAAGGUGGAGCUAAUCCCUUAAAGCUACUCUCAGUUCGGAUUGUAGGCUGAAACUCGCCUACAUGAAGCUGGAGUUACUAGUAAUCGCAGAUCAGAAUGCUGCGGUGAAUGCGUUCCCGGGUCUUGUACACACCGCCCGUCACACCACGGGAGUUGGAGACGCCCGAAGCCGAUUAUCUAACCUUUUGGAAGAAGUCGUCGAAGG